rnacentral:rRNA from 1 species
ACAGGCUUAACACAUGCAAGUCGAGGGGCACCUGGGUAGUGCUUGCACUACUGCCGGCGACCGGCGCACGGGUGAGUAACACGUAUGGAACCUGCCCGCAGCAGGGGGAUAAGCGGAAGAAAUUCCGUCUAAUACCGCGUAAGAACGUUGGGAGGCAUCUCCCGAUGUUUAAAGAUUUAUCGGCUGCGGAUGGCCAUGCGGCGCAUUAGCUAGUCGGCGGGGUAACGGCCCACCGAGGCGACGAUGCGUAGGGGUUCUGAGAGGAAGGUCCCCCACACUGGUACUGAGACACGGACCAGACUCCUACGGGAGGCAGCAGUGAGGAAUAUUGGUCAAUGGCCGAGAGGCUGAACCAGCCAAGUCGCGUGAGGGAAGACGGCCCUACGGGUUGUAAACCUCUUUUGUCGGGGAGCAAAGCGAACCACGUGUGGUUCAUUGAGAGUACCCGAAGAAAAAGCAUCGGCUAACUCCGUGCCAGCAGCCGCGGUAAUACGGAGGAUGCGAGCGUUAUCCGGAUUUAUUGGGUUUAAAGGGUGCGCAGGCGGAGGUGCAAGUCAGCGGUCAAAUUGCGGGGCUCAACCCCGUACUGCCGUUUGAACUGCAUCCCCUUGAGUGCGCGAGAAGUAUGCGGAAUGCGUGGUGUAGCGGUGAAAUGCAUAGAUAUCACGCAGAACUCCGAUUGCGAAGGCAGCAUACCGGCGCGUAACUGACGCUCAUGCACGAAAGCGUGGGUAUCGAACAGGAUUAGAUACCCUGGUAGUCCACGCAGUAAACGAUGAACACUAACUGUUCGGCCAGAAUGAUGGCUGAGUGGUACAGCGAAAGCGUUAAGUGUUCCACCUGGGGAGUACGCCGGCAACGGUGAAACUCAAAGGAAUUGACGGGGGCCCGCACAAGCGGAGGAACAUGUGGUUUAAUUCGAUGAUACGCGAGGAACCUUACCCGGGCUCAAACGACACAGGAAUACUUUUGAAAGGAGGUAGCCCUACGGGGUCUGUGUCGAGGUGCUGCAUGGUUGUCGUCAGCUCGUGCCGUGAGGUGUCGGCUUAAGUGCCAUAACGAGCGCAACCCCUAUCGCCAGUUACCAUCAAGUAAAGUUGGGGACUCUGGCGAGACUGCCGGCGCAAGCUGAGAGGAAGGCGGGGAUGACGUCAAAUCAGCACGGCCCUUACGUCCGGGGCGACACACGUGUUACAAUGGCAGGUACAGAGAGAAGCCAGGUGGCGACACCGCGCGGAACUCGAAAGCCUGUCUCAGUUCGGAUCGGAGUCUGCAACCCGACUCCGUGAAGCUGGAUUCGCUAGUAAUCGCAAAUCAGCCAUGGCGCGGUGAAUACGUUCCCGGGC